AUGACAUUUACUGAAGUGGAUCCACACCCUCAACUGUGCAUGAAGGUAAUGAUCACCUUUCACCCUUUGGCUCUUUCAGUUUCAGUGGAAAGAAACAAUAGCGCUGACGUACUGUAAAUCAUAUCAGUAGGCUACAGGGCCGGAGUCAGGAGGUUUGAGGGACAGGGGCCAAAAAUGACAAACGGCACCAGGGGAGGUUGUGGCUCAGGGAUAGAGCUAGUGUCUUGGGGCCCAAUUGGUCAUUUAAAUCAAACAAGUGUAGAAUGGCAUGUUGGGAAUUUAUGGGGGUCGCUGUUGCCACAGACUGUUCCUGGUUCAGCGCAGUAGCCUAGCUUCCCUGAGUCCCUGCUUGUGUGACGAGUUAGUGGUGCUGUUAGCUUGAUUUUGCUCCCUUUACAAAGAGCCAGGCUACUGUAAACGUUGUGCUAAGCUAAGAGAACUGUCUAUAGGGCAGGAAGAUAAACCUAGCAUCUGGUUGCCUAAGGUUACUGGUUAGCUGGCACUGAUUAGUAGCUAAGCUCAUUGGCUGCUGGCUAGCUUUAUAUUUGCCAAAUACUAGUGGCUUUGUUAGUUCAGAUUAAUGAAUUCAGGAACAGGAAUGCCAGAUAAUAGCAUGAAAAACAUUUAACAUACAUCGGACAUACUUAUUUUUACAAUGAUAUACUCAUUUUUGGCGGUAUAGAGUAACUUAUUGCUUUCUAAUGCUUACAUAUAACAUGUUAGUGCUGAUGGCCUCUGCACUGCUGAACCUGUUCAUUUCUAUAAAAGGAUCGCACAGUGUAUGAUCACACCUUUCACAAUGGUGACUGCAGUGCUAAAAGAGGGAAGCUGUGCUUUUGUUAUCUGCAGUUUUUAGACUCUGCACUGAUUUACAACAGUACUUAACUGGAACUAUUUUCUGUGGGCAUGUUCUCUAAUGCAAAUUCUCAAAUUUAGGUUCCUGUCUUAGAACAAAGAAUGAUGUUUAUGGGCUUGACAUGCUGGAUGAAGAGAUUUACAAAAUACAAUUCUUCAAUCUUCUCCAGUUCACUGCCGGCUCUCAGUCCUGGACCAAGUGCCCCUUUGCGAAUGGACGAUUCCAAGCAUGGGAGAUUGUUGUGACGAGAAAGCAAGAUCACGAAGAUGUGCAGAUGUCGUCCCAGAUCAAUGCAACGUUUUCUGUGGGGCUGUGUGUGAAGUCUGAAGGGUCUGCUGGGUGCCAGGUCACAGAAACACACACCGUUCACGUGGAAAAACGCAAAGCUGUCGGAUUAAACCUGGCAGGGGAACUAUGCGGCUCCUGUCUCCAGGUGAUGAGGCUCGAUGUGAAAUUUGCUGCCACAGUCAAUCACUGUCUUAAGGAAUGUGGUAAGUACAUUUUUUGGGGGGUGCUUCUGCUCCUUAUGUACUAG
rnacentral:lncRNA from 1 species